AUGGGACUCAGUGUGGACACCCCUUUCUUCACAUUAGAACUGGAGCAUGGUGGACUAUUUUGUGCACCAAUAAAUAACAUGGAGUACUAUAAUCCUUCAGUGGAGGUGCUUGACUAUGUUGAUGCUGGCACGUUCUCAUAUGCAGUCAUUGAAGAGCACCUGCUAUGGUUGGGAUAUCCUGUCAAUGAGCACAUCAUUUAUUGGUGCAUGCUUGACAAAACAGUUUCAGAUGGUAUGCUCAGAAUCAGAGGUGAUGAGGAUGUGAAGCAAAUGAUAACAGCCAGUGCUCAGCAUAAGGUUCUUGCAAUCAUGGUUGAUCAUUCAGAUUUCAUCAGUAAUUUCAGGCAAGAUUUGAUAUGUACAGUGGGAGCAGUAGAGAAUUCUGUCAGAGUGGUAAACCCAAAUGUUGUUGCAGCCAGUGCAGCUAGUUCUCGCAGCAUCAUUUCAUCAAUGCUGAAGAUCCAAUUUCAGAGUUUGUAG
rnacentral:rRNA from 1 species